AGAAGAAUAUCUUCUAAUUAAGAUAAGAAAAUCUUUGGUUACAAUGUUUUCAACGUUAAAAUAUAUUUCAAAGUCAUGUUCUAUCUCUUUAUAUAGCAGCUCAAUUUUCUCUAGUCUCUCAAUCUCUACGCCUAUAAUUCUUCGAUUGUCUACAGAUCAUCUUACCACAUCCUAUAUCUCUAGGUUCUCUCUCCAGCUAUUGUGUAAUGUUUCAUCAAUUCUUUUUUGCUAAGAUAGUGUUUCAUCAAUUAAUGGUUGAAACUUGUGCACAAGCUGAAGCGAGUGACAUAGAGACGUGGGAUGGUGGUGAAUAUGCACAUAUUGUUUUUGUUCGUUCCUCUCAACUAAGUUCUUAAUUGUAUAUAUAGCCUACGUAUCUAUCCAUAAAUCAAUUUGUCAAUCGUCUCAUACGAAUGUUCUGCUUUCAUUGGCUUGUAGCCUUGUGUAGAGUCUUCAGGUACUGGUUGAAACUCAUGCACACCGUCUCAAGCGGGUGAGAACUAGAGCAUUGAUAUGGGUAGAAUCUGGACAUGCUCUCGCUUAAUUGUUUGAUAUUCUGUCGUGGAUCCCUUUAAUAUUUGUACGUUCCUUCAAAAGAGUUAGCCAGUACGUAUACAAGCUUUGUUCAUCAAAGGGACCGUACUGUGUAACACGGACGCUGCUUGGAACCCAUCAACAAAGGAAACAUGACUCGGCUGGAUCUUCACAGUACCAAACGCCCCUUCACAGCAAGGCUUCCAAGCACAAUCUUGUGUGAAAUCACCUCUCCUCGUGGAAAGAUUGGCGAUCCGUUCGGCCCUAUCCCACACGAUUCACCUUAGACACACUAAAGUCUGGAUUCGACCAGUCUUCCUCGGGCUCGUCAGAGCUAUCAUUUCGAUGACAAAACUGAAGAAUCUCCACGGUAUUCUAUCGGACAUCGAAACCCUAUCUGCUUCUUUUAUUUUCUGUUUUUUUUUUCAGUUUGUUUCCAGAGAGCAUAAUGAGUCUGCUGAUUGUGUGGCUAAGGUUCCACUCUGUAACAUGAACUCCAUUUGGGCUUGGGCCUAAUUUCUAUGAUAAUUCAGUUGUUCAAAAAAAAAAAGUCUGAAUAACGGAAAGAUUAUGAAAUUAAUUA